rnacentral:rRNA from 1 species
UACGUAGGGGGCAAGCGUUGUCCGGAAUCAUUGGGCGUAAAGCGCGUGUAGGCGGCCCGGUAAGUCCGCUGUGAAAGUCGGGGGCUCAACCCUCGAAUGCCGGUGGAUACUGUCGGGCUAGAGUGCGGAAGAGGCGAGUGGAAUUCCUGGUGUAGCGGUGAAAUGCGCAGAUAUCAGGAGGAACACCGAUUGCGAAGGCAGCUCGCUGGGACGUUACUGACGCUGAGACGCGAAAGCGUGGGGAGCAAACAGG